GCUUCCUCUAAGUCCGCUGGCGAUUCCCGUGCGCGCGUGUUGACCGCUGUGGAUAAAGCCCUGACUCGCGGUCCUCUGGCGGUACACGGCGUCUGCCGCGCUCUCGUCUUGGGCCAUGGAUCCUCUUCAUGUCCCUGUUUCGCAGAAGAGGGUACUGAGUGGCACAGAGGCUGAGUCACUUGCCCAAGAUCACUUAUGGGUCUGAUUGGGAUUAAAGCAAAAGCCAAAUUCGACAAUUGUGAAAAAAUAGUAUCCACCCCGCGAGGUAGUUCUUUAGUUCUGUGGAUUGUCUACUAAUGAUUCUUCGAAACAGGGCGAUUUUGUCCCCCUGGGGACACUUGGCAGUGAAUGAAGAUUCAGUUUGUUUGUCACAAGUUGCAAACCUCAAGAGGGUGAAGACCAGAGAUGCUGCUCCACACCCUACAAUGCACAGGAUCGCGCCACCACAGAGAACGGCACCCCCCCACACACCUUGUCAACAGGAGGUGGAGAAACACCAGUCUACACGGACAGAUGGAUAGUCAUCUGUUGAUUUGUCACAUGGUACUAUAUGCUGCUGCCUUGUGAUUUUCCCCAUAGCUUUUAUCCCCAUUGAUAACCUGGGUUCCAUCGCCAGUAUAGGGCGUGUGGGACACCUCCUGUAGCCCUCCUUACUUCUUGCAAAACAUGUUGCUCUCAGCAGGCUCUGGAGGAAGUGACUGUCAUUGGUUCUCAGCCACAGGGAAACAGACCCAGCAGAAGGGACAAGCAGUCCCAGGUGGCUGUCCACCUCUCAGGGGUCAUACUGCACUGUAACAUUUUGGAAGUCAAAAAAUUAGUUAACAGGUUUUUUGUUUGUUUGGUACCAGGGAUUGAACUCAGGGGCACUCAACCACUGAGCCACAUUCCAGCCCUAUUUUGUAUUUUAUUUAGAGACCGUCUCACCUCGCUUUUGCUGAGGCUGGCUUUGAACUCACUCUUCUUCUGUCUCAGCCUCCUGAGGCGCUGGGAUUACAGGCGUGGUGCGCCAUCAUGCCUGGCUGUUAACAGUUUUGAAAGUGAUCAGGCUCGGAGGUAGGUGUCAGGAAGGCUAGCUCCUGGGAUUGGGCUGGGCUGGGUAUGGCUGCCAGGGUGAGCAGGAACUGAUGGCAGGCUGGCUUGGCCUUCCAAACUGCAGAGGCUGGACAGCACUACAUCAAGGAAUCUGCCCCUCAGACGCUAGCUAAGUGUGUGUAGACAGAGACGGCCCAGGAUGCCCACAGUCCACAUGUCCAUCCCUCAGUGACAGGGGCCAGCAGAUACAGUGCACAGGAUGUGGUUGAAAGGAGGAAGCCAGGCACGAACUGCUUAAAAUAGUAUAUUUUAAUAUAUAUAGACACCUAUGAGGGAUGAAUAAUAGCCAUGUAUUUGCCACUGAAAUGAAAACGUUAGGUUUUUGCCACGUUUACUUCAAGAUAUUUUUUUAAAAAUGAAGCGGAGGGCUGGGAAGUGGCCCAAGGGCAGCUAUGCUUUGCUGAAUGAGGCCUGGUUCAAUCUCCUGGGUGCAGAAGAAAAAAACAGUAGAAGAGCUUGUUCCCUCCAACCCAGGCAUUUCCUCCCUCCCACUCCAGGGCAGAUACAGCAAUAAAAUAGGUGUUUUGACACUUCUCUGAAUUUACUUUCAAUGUGAGAAUAUGCAUGCCAAAAUAUACACUUCUCCCCACCCCCUGCCUUUUGUGUUACUGGGGACUGACACCAGGGAUUCCACCACUGAGCUGCAUACUCAGCCCUUUUUAUUUUGGGACAAUUUCACUAAG
rnacentral:lncRNA from 1 species